UUUUAUUUGCGCUAUACCAUAAUGCCACCAUUCAUGACUAUUCAUGAUUGUGCCUUUUGUGAAAGGAAAAAAAUAGUAAACGUGUAUAUUUUUUGUUACCAGGAGGAACAAAUCUCUAUCUUUCGCGAAAACAAAAUCAUGUCGCUCGCGGAAAGGAAAAAACAUGUAUUUUUUCGUUUUCGGUAGACACAACCAUGUCUUUCGCAAAAACAAAAUCAUGCCUUUUGUGAAAGAAGAAAAACACGUUUUUCCUUUCGCUUCCGACAGGCACAUCCAC
rnacentral:lncRNA from 1 species